AUUGAACGCUGGCGGCAGGCCUAACACAUGCAAGUCGAACGAGUGGCGGACGGGUGAGUAAUGUCUGGGAAACUGCCCGAUGGAGGGGGAUAACUACUGGAAACGGUAGCUAAUACCGCCUACCAUCGGAUUUGCCCAGAUGGGAUUAGCUAGUAGGUGGGGUAAUGGCUCACCUCGGCGACGAUCCCUAGCUGGUCUGAGAGGAUGCACAGCCACACUGGAACGGAGCCACGGUCCAGACUCUUACGGGAGGCAGAAGUGGGGAAUAUUGCACAAUGGGCGAAAGCCUGAUGCAGACAUGCGGGGUGUAUGAAGAAGGCCUUCGGGUUGUAAAGUACUUUCAGCGAGGAGGCGUUACUCGCAGAAGAAGCACCGGCUAACUCCGUGCCAGCAGCCGCGGUAAUUC
rnacentral:rRNA from 1 species